GCCUUUUGGCCCCUCAAUACUCCCACGUUCCACAAGGCCCUCAAUGAUCCAGCCCCAGGGGAAGCUGUGAGACCCCGUGGUCUCCCUGACAGGCAGGGCAGCCCAAUGCACCCGCACCAUGUCUUCCCCAAACAAUGACUGCUCACCCACCCCGACCAGCACAGACAUCUUCCCGUCUAUUUGUUCCCUCUACGUCUCCCCAGUGGAUGCACUUGUUGCACGUGUUGGUCCCUGACUCACCUUGGUAAGGUGGGGUGCGCGGUGGUAAGAGGUCCCGUUUCACUGCGUGGCGUAGCAGCUGAAACCCGUUUGUGCCUUGCCCAGGGGCUCUUUCCCUGAGUUCUCCGAGAGCCUCAGUGGCUGAGUGGUUCACAUGUCUGGCUUGAGACGAUCCUGUGCAAGUGGAAACACACGUCUGAGGAUGCUCUGAGGCCUCCGCCUGGCAGACCCGUCAGCAUGAGGCACCUACACUCUACCAGACCUUCUGUUGGACCCAGUCCAGUU
rnacentral:lncRNA from 1 species